UACAGAGGGUGCAAGCGUUGUUCGGAAUUAUUGGGCGUAAAGGGCGCGUAGGCGGUGCGGUAAGUCUGUAGUGAAAUCUCUGGGCUCAACUCAGAGUCUGCUGCAGAAACUGCCGUGCUUGAGUGUGGGAGAGGUGAGUGGAAUUCCCGGUGUAGCGGUGAAAUUCGUAGAUAUUGGGAAGAACACCGGUGGCGAAGGCGGCUCACUGGCUCAUUACUGACGCUCAGGCGCGAUAGCGUGGGGAUCAAACAGG
rnacentral:rRNA from 1 species